UUUAGAUGGCGACCGGCGCACGGGUGAGUAACACGUAUCCAACCUGCCGAUGACUCGGGGAUAGCCUUUCGAAAGAAAGAUUAAUACCCGAUGGCAUAGUUCUUCCGCAUGGUAGAACUAUUAAAGGAUUUCAGUCAUCGAUGGGGAUGCGUUCCAUUAGGUUGUUGGCGGGGUAACGGCCCACCAAGCCUUCGAUGGAUAGGGGUUCUGAGAGGAAGGUCCCCCACAUUGGAACUGAGACACGGUCCAAACUCCUACGGGAGGCAGCAUG
rnacentral:rRNA from 1 species